rnacentral:rRNA from 1 species
CACGUAGGGGACGAGCGUUGUCCGGAUUCAUUGGGCGUAAAGGGCGCGUAGGCGGCUUUGCAAGUGACGGGUGAAAGCCCUCGGCUUAACCGAGGAACUGCCUGUCAGACUGUAAGGCUUGAGACCGGGAGAGGUGAGUGGAAUUCCCAGUGUAGCGGUGAAAUGCGUAGAUAUUGGGAGGAACACCAGUGGCGAAGGCGGCUCACUGGACCGGAACUGACGCUGAGGCGCGAAAGCGUGGGGAGCAAACAGG